UCUCGGUGAUGAACAAAUCAUAGAUGACGAGUCCGAUCAAUCCAUUCUAUAAAUCAUGGGGACAAACGAGGCAUUUGUCUGAGAGAA
rfam:Brassica napus, WGS project CCCW01000000 data, contig: 1159